rnacentral:rRNA from 1 species
CCAGACUCCUACGGGAGGCAGCAGUGGGGAAUAUUGCACAAUGGGCGCAAGCCUGAUGCAGCCAUGCCGCGUGUAUGAAGAAGGCCUUCGGGUUGUAAAGUACUUUCAGUCGGGAGGAAGGUGUCAAGGUUAAUAACCUUGGCAAUUGACGUUACCGACAGAAGAAGCACCGGCUAACUCCGUGCCAGCAGCCGCGGUAAUACGGAGGGUGCAAGCGUUAAUCGGAAUUACUGGGCGUAAAGCGCACGCAGGCGGUCUGUCAAGUCGGAUGUGAAAUCCCCGGGCUCAACCUGGGAACUGCAUUCGAAACUGGCAGGCUGGAGUCUUGUAGAGGGGGGUAGAAGUCCAGGUGUAGCGGUGAAAUGCGUAGAGAUAUGGAGGAAUACCGGUGGCGAAGGCGGCCCCCUGGACAAAGACUGACGCUCAGGUGCGAAAGCGUGGGGAGCAAACAGGAUUAGAUACCCGAGUAGAA